AAUGAAAUAAAGCUGAAAACAUAAAGCAAGUUUCAAUGAAAAUUUAGUAAUGGUAUGUGCAACAUCAGAAUUUUGAUGUGAAGGAGUGUGAUAUUGUAGUGAUACAACCGUUUCACUGUUUGUAUUACUCUGCCACUUGCAGUAUUUCUCACAGCGAGUGUCAAGGUGAACGCCCAAAUAUGCUAUCAUUUUAUAAAUAAAAUGUUUUUGUGUCACGGAAUGUAGUUUUAAUAGUUUUUAAGUGAGAAUAUAGUUGUUUAGACUUUAAAUAUGCGAUAAAUAUGUAAUAAAGAUAACAUAUAUUUGAAAAUUUUCUUAUGUGUUUUAGGAGAUGAGAGCUCCAGGACGUCAGCGGCCGUUCAGCGUUCAUAAACCUGCCCGAAAGCACCUCACCUCGGCCAGAUGUUCUGGAAUUUACUGCUGGAUCUGAUGUCUCUAUAGUGGUUAAACAUGAAAUAUAAUUCAUUUUGGGUAAAUCUUGCGGGUAGUCUUUGAAAUAGCUGACUGUGAAGCUCCUCGAGCCGCAGGAUUGUUUGCAGGCCGCUGGAUGAGAGAAACUGAAGAUGUAAUUUGGGCUUGGAAAUCUUCAGCGAGUCUCGGAUGGAGCCUGCGGAGAGCAGCGGGAGUGUGUGUGUGUUUUCCCGCCGGCGCGCUCAUCUUCACUACCUCUUGUCGAGCUAAUGGCCGCUGGAAUCGCUCUGCAAGCACUCGGGCCCCUGAGAGUGAGAAUAAACCUGCUGGGAGGAGAGAGAGAGGGGGGCCCUCACUGUUUCAAACAAGAGGGCAAAGGAGUCAGAAUCUUCUAGAUGCUCUUUCCCUUGUGAUCCACCACACAAAAGUACCGGGCGUACCAGCUCUCUGAAGAAACAUGAAUGGUAUACUGUAGACUCAUUUCAAAUUGAUUGAUGAUUUCUGCAAAAAAGAGUUAAGAAUGAUUUUUUGGCGGGCUGAACUAUCCCUUUCAUCAUCAUCAUCAACUAAUCACCCUCAUGUCUGUAUGAGUUUUUUUUUUUUUUUUUUUUUUCUGUUGAAAACAAAAGUAGAUAUUUUGGAGAAUGCUAUGCCUAUAUAGGAAUAGUUCACCCAAAAAUGAAGACUUGCUGUUAAUUUACCCACACUCAGGUCAUCCAAGAUGUAGGUUUUUGUUUUUCUUCAGUAGAGCAGUAAAGAAGCUUUAAGCUAAAAAACGUUCUCCUUGGUGAUUCAUAAAAUGCAAGUCAAUGGCUACCCUUUAUUGAGAAUAUAAAAGAAGGAUAUCGUGGAACCCACAAUGAAUACCCAUGGCCCCUGACGAUAUAUUGAGAUCUUGCAAGAAACUG
ensembl:lncRNA